rnacentral:tRNA from 1 species
GGGCUCGUAGCGCAGCCAGGAAGCUUCUCAAACCUUAGUUAAGGUAAGAGUAUUGGUAUAUAGCGCAGCAGGUUCCUAACCUGUUGGUCGGGGGUUCAAAUCCCCUCGGGCCCG